rnacentral:rRNA from 1 species
AACGAACGCUGGCGGCAGGCUUAACACAUGCAAGUCGAACGCGUGUAGCAAUACACGAGUGGCGCACGGGUGAGUAACGCGUGGAUAUCUGCCUUUUGGUUCGGAAUAACCCCGGGAAACUGGGGCUAAUACCGGAUGGUUCCUUCGGGAUAAAGAUUUAUCGCCAAAAGAUGAGUCCGCGUACGAUUAGCUAGUUGGUGAGGUAAUGGCUCACCAAGGCGACGAUCGUUAGCUGGCUGAGAGGACGAUCAGCCACACUGGGACUGAGACACGGCCCAGACUCCUACGGGAGGCAGCAGUGGGGAAUAUUGGACAAUGGGCGAAAGCCUGAUCCAGCCAUGCCGCGUGAGUGAUGAAGGCCCUCGGGUCGU